rnacentral:rRNA from 1 species
GCGUUGAAGCAGUGUACGUCAGACUUCCAAGAAAAGCUCGCAAUGUCAUAAAUGAAAAAUGCCUGUACCAUAACCGACACAGGUGGGUAGGUAGAGUAUACUAAGGGGCGCGAGAUAACUCUCUCUAAGGAACUCGGCAAAAUGACUCCGUAACUUCGGGAGAAGGAGUGCCUUAUUUAUAAGGUUGCAAUAACAAGAUCCAAGCAACUGUUUAUCAAAAACACAGGUCUCCGCUAAGUCGUAAGACGAUGUAUGGGGGCUGACGCCUGCCCAGUGCCAGAAGGUUAAAGAAGUUGGUUAGUGUAUGCGAAGCUGAUGACUGAAGCCCUGGUGAACGGCGGCCGUAACUAUAACGGUCCUAAGGUAGCGAAAUUCCUUGUCGGGUAAGUUCCGACCCGCACGAAAGGCGUAAUGAUUUGGAUACUGUCUCGGAGAGAGGCUCGGUGAAAUAGACUAGUCUGUGAAGAUGCGGACUACCUGCACCAGGACAGAAAGACCCUAUGAAGCUUUACUGUAACUUGAAAUUGGAAUUGGACUUUGCUUGCGCAGUAUAGGUGGGAAGCGUUGAAGAUAUUCUUGCGGGAGUAUUGGAGCUAUCAGUGAGAUACCACUCUUGUAAUGUUAGAUUUCUAACUUUGAACCAUAAUCUGGUCAAAGAACAGUUUCAGGUGGGCAGUUUGACUGGGGCGGUCGCCUCCCAAAUGGUAACGGAGGCGUACAAAGGUUUCCUCUGAACGGAUAGAAAUCGUAUCUAGAGUGUAAAGGCAUAAGGAAGCUUGACUGUGAGACCUACAAGUCGAGCAGGGACGAAAGUCGGUCUUAGUGAUCUGACGGUACUGAGUGGAAAGGCCGUCACUCAACGGAUAAAAGUUACUCUAAGGAUAACAGGCUGAUCUCCCCCAAGAGUUCACAUCGACGGGGAGGUUUGGCACCUCGAUGUCGGCUCAUCGCAUCCUGGGGCGGUAGUACGUCCCAAGGGUUGGGCUGUUCGCCCAUGAAAGCGGUACGCGAGCUGGGUUCAGAACGUCGUGAGACAGUUCGGUCCAUAUCCGGUGUAGGCGUUAGAAUAUUGAGAGGAGCCUUCUUUAGUACGAGAGGACCGAGAAGGACACACCGCUGGUGUACCAGUUAUCGUGCCAACGGUAAACGCUGGGUAGCUAUGUGUGGAGUGGAUAACCGCUGAAAGCAUCUAAGUGGGAAGCCCACCUCAAGAUGAGUAUUCUCAAG